CACGAACCGGACAAACGUUAUUCGGAAUCACUGGGCUUAAAGGGUGCGUAGGCGGCCUGACAAGUUGGGUGUGAAAUCCCUCGGCUUAACCGAGGAAUUGCGCUCAAAACUGUUGGGCUUGAGGGAGUUAGAGGUGAGCGGAACUUAGGGUGGAGCGGUGAAAUGCGUUGAUAUCCUAAGGAACACCAGUGGCGAAAGCGGCUCACUGGAGCUCUUCUGACGCUGAGGCACGAAAGCUAGGGGAGCGAACGGG
rnacentral:rRNA from 1 species